UACGUAGGGGGCGAGCGUUGUCCGGAUUUAUUGGGCGUAAAGAGCGUGUAGGCGGUUCGGUAAGUCUGUCGUGAAAUCCUGGAGCUCAACUCCAGAACUGCCUUUGAUACUGAGGAUCUCGAGUUCGGGAGAGGUGAGUGGAACUGCGAGUGUAGAGGUGAAAUUCGUAGAUAUUCGCAAGAACACCAGUGGCGAAGGCGGCUCACUGGCCCGAUACUGACGCUGAGGCACGAAAGCGUGGGGAGCAAACAGGG
rnacentral:rRNA from 1 species